UCAACGUCCAGUCCCCGUCCCUCUCCUUUCGCGGGGCGGGUCCAGUCCCCGUCCCUCUCCUUUCGCGGGGUGCCCGGGCGGAGGUGCGCGACCCAGAGCGGCCAGCAGAGGGCGCUGCCGCCACACAUUUGAGUCUCCCGCCUGCGGGCUCCAGAGCCCGGUUUUGACUGAGGCUCAUUCUUGGAAAGCAGCGGAUCCUGCCGUCCUGCGGGGAAGCCUCCUGGCUUUCCCCACCGGAGCUACCAAGCACAGAAGAAACGACCCUGUGAGGUGAGCACUUUCUUGGCCGGUGUCCAGCGGCCUGUGCCUCCUGCCUCAUCCAAGGAGCCAGCACAUCCCAGAAGCCCCAGGAGCAGUCUCAGCUUUGUCUUCUGCCACAAAGGACUUCCAUGUAGCCAGUUACCAAGCUCCACUUGCUAAUCUGUUUCUGGGGAAACAGGGAGAAGGAGCCCCGGGCCCCGCCUGCAUCUGGAUGAGUGAAGAAGUCCUAAGUGCUGACUGGCGGGUUGUUUUCUUCCUUCGAUCCCUGCUUUUCCCUCUGGCUUCUCCAGCCUGGUCAGUAUCAUAAUCCACCCACCUGCUCAGCCCAGAAAAUGCAGAGUCAUCCUGCUGCCAUCACCUGGGAAGACGCAUUUGCGACUCACGUGCCAGAGGCCUCCUUCCCUGACUCAGGAAGGAGAAGGCCCCGCCAGAAACACAUGUCGAGAUUAGGACCAGCAGCUUCACAGACACCAAGAAGGGACCAGCCAUUCAGGGGAGCACGCUCAGCCUCACCAGUAACGGAGGAGCGGAAACCGAAGGCCAAGCGAGGACUUUUCAACUCUCAAGAAGACACUGGACAGCAGACAAACCCUCAGACCUCGAUGAGGCCCCAGACUGCGGAUGUGAGGGGAAAGUGAUUCUCAUUCCUGGUGGGUUGGUGGGAGCCAAUAUUUGUAGAACUCAGGGAUACAUACAUAUGUAUAUGUAUAUGUGUAUAUAUUUAUAUAUAUAAAUAUAUACACACACGUACAGUGGACGAUUCCACAGAGUAAAAUACAUAUAAACACUAGUGGACGCUGACGAACAAGUGAGUUUUCUGAAGUUAAGAGGAAGGGGGUGGGAGAAAGGGUUGAAGGGCAUGAAGGAGGAUGGUGGAAAAAAAUGAAAAAAAAAAAAAA